CAGCAGCCGCGGUAAUACGAAGGGGGCUAGCGUUGUUCGGAAUUACUGGGCGUAAAGCGCACGUAGGCGGCUUUACAAGUCAGAGGUGAAAGCCUGGUGCUCAACACCAGAAUUGCCUUUGAGACUGUAUCGCUUGAACAUCGGAGAGGUGAGUGGAAUUCCGAGUGUAGAGGUGAAAUUCGUAGAUAUUCGGAAGAACACCAGUGGCGAAGGCGGCUCACUGGACGACUGUUGACGCUGAGGUACGAAAGCGUGGGGAGCAAACAGGAUUAGAUACCCCCGUAGUCCCUGUCUCUUAUAC
rnacentral:rRNA from 1 species